UACGAAGGGGGCUAGCGUUGUUCGGAAUUACUGGGCGUAAAGCGGGCGUAGGCGGCUAUCCAAGUCAGUGGUGAAAGCCCGGAGCUCAACUCCGGAACUGCCAUUGAAACUGUUUAGCUUGAGGAUGAGAGAGGUGAGUGGAAUUCCCAGUGUAGAGGUGAAAUUCGUAGAUAUUGGGAAGAACACCGGUGGCGAAGGCGGCUCACUGGCUCAUUACUGACGCUCAGGCGCGAUAGCGUGGGGAUCAAACAGG
rnacentral:rRNA from 1 species